UGGGGCGUGGCCAAGUGGCAAGGCAGCGGGUUUUGGCUCCGCUAUUCGGAGGUUCGAGUCCUUCCGCCCCAG
rfam:Klebsormidium nitens chloroplast DNA, scaffold: kfl01813, whole genome shotgun sequence.